rnacentral:lncRNA from 1 species
GCUAAAAGGGCGCUGUGCCUGCCUGGGUUGGGACAUCUGGCAAGGAGGAUACGAAGCCAGCAAGGCUUCCCGUUGGUAAGGCACCACUCAUGUCCUCUGACCUUGAGCAGCGAUUCCAUGCCUCUCAAGUGUUUUCUUCUUGCUCAUUGCCCUCAAAGGCUGCCCUAGCACACAGAUGACCCCUGCUUGAUGAAGUGUGGGGGAAGGCCACCAGAAGCAGGUGGCAGCCGUCCCUGGCGGUGUGUGACAGGCCGAGAUCCCAUGCCACUGCUGAGCAGGGAGUGAGGCAGGUGCUCUUUGCUCCCAGUGCCAAACCUGCAAGUUCCUUAGCUUCAGGGAGCCUGUCCCCUCCACGGCCUGAAUCUGUCUUUUCUGUCCCUGUAAGGCCACAUCAGGAAAGCAGGGAUCAACAUGGUCUACACAAUGAAUCUUGCAGGGGCAGUUUGGCACAUCCAGCUCCACGGACACCUGCUUUGCUGCAUUCAGGAGCUCCUGGUGGCUGGGCAGAUCCACACCGCAUCAGUGACAUCCAUCCUGUCCAGACAGACAGGCCCCUGUGACCACAGAGGCACCAAUAAACAGAAGAAACGUUGGAUGGAGACCAGAGGAGUUUGCAAUUAACACAUUAAACAGAUCGACCGAUGGCAGGAUCAAAAGCGCCGCAGCCAAAAGCGGAGUAGGAAACGAGCCGCACGUGUGAUGUGACCGUGGCUCUGUGCUGAUGGCUUGAUUUAUGCGAACUUUAAAGGCCCAUAGGAAGCUGAUGCUGCCGUGUAAGUUCCUUCUCUUUUUUUCAUGUAAACUGCUUCCCCCGGUCUGGCACCAAGCAGAUAACUUCUCUCUCCUCCGUGUCUUUUUAUAACUGCUUAAUCUGCGGUAUCUGAUUCCUGCCUGUGCUGCGUACCCACUCUCUGCUAAGCAAG